rnacentral:rRNA from 1 species
UACGUAGGCAGCAAGCGUUGUUCGGAGUUACUGGGCGUAAAGAGUGCGUAGGUGGUGCCCUAAGUCUGUUGUGAAAUCUCCCGGCUUAACUGGGAGGGUGCGGUGGAAACUGGGGUGCUUGAGUGUGGGAGAGGUAAGCGGAAUUCCUGGUGUAGCGGUGAAAUGCGUAGAUAUCAGGAAGAACACCCGUGGCGAAGGCGGCUCUCUGGGACGGUACUGACGCUGAGACGCGAAAGCGUGGGGAGCGAACAGG